UUUAAAAUACUAAAUCAAUUAGAUUUUCUAUAACCAAGAAAAAAGAAUUAGGUCAAUGGAAUCUGCCCAACCUAAUCACGGACGAUGUUUUGGUUAAACAUAUCGUUAAGAUUUGGAUGAAUCUUUUAUGUCAUGUAUGGCCGGUUCCAAGUGUGACUACAGGAUUUGGGCAAAUUAACAAAC
rnacentral:sRNA from 1 species